rnacentral:rRNA from 1 species
CAAUAGCGUAUAUUAAAGUUGCUGCAGUUAAAAAGCUCGUAGUUGAAUUUGUGCGUGUCUCAGUAUCCACUUGUGGUAUGUUUGAGAUGUGUGUGUUUGGGUUGAACCUGUGUGGCAUUAGGUUGUCGUGCAGGGUACUCCCAUCAUUUACUGUGAAAAAAUUAGAGUGUUCAAAGCAGGCAUUUGCUGAUGAAUAUAUUAGCAUGGGAUAAUAAGAUAGGGCCUUGGUGCUAUUUUGUUGGUUUGUGCACUGAGGUAAUGAUUAACAGGGAUGGUUGGGGGUAUUUGUAUUCCACUGUCAGAGGUGAAAUUCUUGGAUUCUUGGAAGACAUACAACUGCGAAAGCAUUUACCAAGGAUGUUUUCAUUAAC